rnacentral:rRNA from 1 species
AGAGUUUGAUCCUGGCUCAGGACGAACGCUGGCGGCGCGCUUAACACAUGCAAGUCGUACGGGGCUCUUCGGAGUUCAGUGGCGAACGGGUGCGUAACACGUGAGUGACCUGCCCUUGUGCGGGGGAUAACCCGGGGAAACCCGAGCUAAUACCGCAUGUACUCUUUUGGCUUCAUGGUCGGAUGAGGAAAGGUGCUGUAAGGCACCGCGCAGGGAGGGGCUCGCGGCGUAUCAGGUAGUUGGUGAGGUAACGGCUCACCAAGCCGAUGACGCGUAGGGGGUCUGAGAGGAUGGCCCCCCACAUUGGGACUGAGAUACGGCCCAGACUCCUACGGGAGGCAGCAGUGGGGAAUCUUGCGCAAUGGCCGAAAGGCUGACGCAGCGACGCCGCGUGCGGGAUGAAGCUUUUCGGAGUGUAAACCGCUGUCGGGUGGGACGAAGGUCCCGAGUAGGAAAUGACUUGGGGAUGACGGUACCACCAAAGGAAGCACCGGCUAACUUCGUGCUAGCAGCCGCGGUAAUACGAAGGGUGCAAGCGUUGUUCGGAAUUAUUGGGCGUAAAGCGCACGUAGGCGGCUGUGUAAGUCUCACUGUGAAAGUCCGGGGCUCAACCUCGGGAUUGCAGGGGAUACUGCACGGCUCGAGACAAGUAGAGGUUGGUAGAAUUCCGGGUGUAGCGGUGGAAUGCGUAGAGAUCCGGAGGAAUACCAGAGGCGAAGGCGGCCAACUGGGCUUGUUCUGACGCUGAGGUGCGAAAGCGUGGGGAGCGAACAGGAUUAGAUACCCUGGUAGUCCACGCCGUAAACGAUGUACACUGGACCGGUGCGAUUUUGACGUUGUAUCGGUCGUAGUAAAAACGAUAAGUGUACCGCCUGGGGAGUACGGUCGCAAGGCUAAAACUCAAAUGAAUUGACGGGGGCUCACACAAGCGGUGGAGCAUGUUGCUUAAUUCGAGGCAACGCGAAGAACCUUACCUGGAUUUGACAUGCUUGGAUCAACUCUAUGAAAGUAGAGCCACAGUCGCAAGACCGGAACAAGCACAGGUGCUGCAUGGCUGUCGUCGGCUCGUGCUGUGAAGUGUCGGGUUAAGUCCCUUAACGAGCGCAACCCCUGUCGUUAGUUGCUCGGCGAAAGCCAGUACUCUAGCGAGACUGCCGUCGUCAAGACGGAGGAAGGUGGGGAUGACGUCAAGUCCUCAUGGCCCUUACAUCCAGGGCUGCAAACGUGCUACAAUGGUGCGUACAAAGCGAUGCAAGGCCGCAAGGCGGAGCAAAUCGCAAAAAACGCACCCCAGUUCGGAUUGCAGGCUGCAACUCGCCUGCAUGAAGUCGGAAUCGCUAGUAAUCGCGGAUCAGCUACGCCGCGGUGAAUGUGUUCCUGAGCCUCGUACACACCGCCCGUCAUGUCAUGGGAGCCGGGAGUGCCCGAAGCCGCCACAUUUCAGUGGUGUCUACGGCAAGAUCGGUGACUGGGACGAAGUCGUAACAAGGUA